GACGUAGGAGGCGAGCGUUAUCCGGAUUCACUGGGCGUAAAGCGCAUGUAGGCGGUUGUACAAGUCCGAUGUUAAAGCCCCCGGCUCAACUGGGGGAGGUCAUUGGAGACUGUGCGACUUGAGGGCAACAGAGGCACGUGGAACUCCCGGUGUAGCGGUGGAAUGCGUAGAGAUCGGGAAGAACACCCGUGGCGAAGGCGACGUGCUGGGUUGCGACUGACGCUGAGAUGCGAAAGUGUGGGGAGCGAACAGG
rnacentral:rRNA from 1 species